ensembl:lncRNA
CGUACCUAGUGAUCAUUGGCCAUAACCAUUUCUCCCAUGAUUCAUCCCUCCCCACCUCCCAGAGACAGAGAACGAGACCACAAGUAUGGACCCAGUGAAAAGGAGACCCCUCGGGAACGAGAGAGGAGACGGCGGCGGUCUUACUCCCCCAUGAGGAAGCGCAGGAGGGAUUCCCCCAGCCACCUGGAGGCUCGUCGGAUCACAAGUGCCCGGAAACGUCCCAUCCCCUACUACCGUCCCAGCCCCUCCUCCUCCAGCAGCCUCAGCAGCUACUCCUCCUGGGACAGCAGCAGCAGCCGGAGCCGCAGUCGAAGUUACUCACGAAGCAGUAGCAGCAGCGGCCGCAGCCGAAGUAGCAGUGAGAGCAGCAGCAGCGACGGUGAUGGCGCCAGUGAACCUGGGAGCCACAGCAGGAGCUGGAGCCACAGCCAGAGUUAUGCCUCUGAGGGCAGCUACGAGAGCACAGGCCGUUAAGGGAGGCCUCCCAGCUGUGGCCUCAGGACUCUGGCCCCUUUCUUCGUACUGACAGAAGCCUUGUGUCCCGGGGAGGCUCUAGGUCCCCCACCCACCCCCACCCCUCCCUCCACUCCAAGGAGAAGAGAGGACCCAGCAGCUCUGCUCUCCUUCCCUUUGCAGCCAGCCAUGAGCCACGCAUGCCCUGCAGCCAUUCUGGACCAGAAUCUAGUGGGGGUGGGGAAGAGAAUAAACCACCCAAGGCAGAGGGAGCCCUUUGUAUG